rnacentral:lncRNA from 1 species
GGGUUUUCUUGGGAACGAAAUUGGAGGGUUUGCCAUUUCCCUCCCCAGCUCCCCAUACAGGGGAGAGAACCGAGCAAACUGAGGGAUGAGUGACUUGCCAGCUAAUAAGGAUCAUAGGUAGGCGUCAUAUAAACGUUCUAUUGUAGUUGGUAUCGUUAUCAUGAUUAGACAAGAGGCCCACAAGUAGAUGACUUGCCAGCUAGUAAGGAUCUGGGGCCAAAUUUGAACUCGGCUCCUCCUAACUAGGCCCAACACUCUUCCCACUGCACCACUAGCUCCUGCCUGGCAUACAGUAGGUGUCACAUAAAUGCUCCAUUGUUGAUGUGGCCGGUAUCAUCAUUAUUAGACAAGAGGCCCAGGAGCAGAAUUGGAGAGAAUUGGAGAGUUCAUCCAGCAUCCCUCGUUACUGGCCCCAGCUAAUAGUUGUGUUCGGUCCUGCCCCAAAUGUCUCCUCCGAACAAAGGUGGGCUUGAAGGCCGCAGGACCAAGGACGGUGGGUGGAGCUCCCCCUGCCCCUUGGAAGCAGCUUGAGACCUGCCCCUCAGUUUCCACCGCAAGUGCCCCGACCCUCCUACCCCGCCUGCAUGAAGUGAGAGGCGCCCGGGCCGUUGGACAGUGAAGACAGCAGUUUGCACUAUCUUUCAGCUCCAGUCGGAGCGCCUUGUGUGUAUCAAUCCCUCGAAUGUUUAAUGUUGAAAACACCAUUGUUUCUAAGAACUCUGAGCUCCUGCCUUCAGGACUGUGCUGUGCGAUGGUGCUCUGGGGACUUGCUCAGGAACCAUCAGAGUUGGGAGCUGGUCGUGGCCUUUGUCAAAAAAGAAAUUCACAAAUGAAUCUGGAACCUGG